rnacentral:rRNA from 1 species
GUGCCAGCAGCCGCGGUAAUACGUAGGGCGCAAGCGUUGUCCGGAAUUAUUGGGCGUAAAGCGCUCGUAGGCGGUUUGUCGCGUCUGCUGUGAAAGCCCCGGGCUUAACCCCGGGUGUGCAGUGGGUACGGGCAGACUUGAGUGCAGUAGGGGAGGCUGGAAUUCCUGGUGUAGCGGUGAAAUGCGCAGAUAUCAGGAGGAACACCGAUGGCGAAGGCAGAUCUCUGGGCUGUUACUGACGCUGAGGAGCGAAAGCAUGGGGAGCGCACAGGAUUAGAUACCCCAGUAGUCC